rnacentral:tRNA from 1 species
GGAUGUGGCUCAAGUGGUAGCGCGCUUGCCUAGCAUGUGUGAGGCACUGGGUUCAAUUCUCAGCACCA